AUGAGAUGCAAUCAGGUAAAUUAAACAGAGGAUUUUAGAUCUGGGAUCUUCACUGCACAACACACUCUGUGUAGCUUCAAUAUGGAACUUAAAGGAUGAGAACUCCAAGCAAGAAGAGGAGUCCAGAAGACAUUUCAAACAAGGAAACAUGAUGAAGAAGGGCACAGAAGUGGGAAAAUGUGUACCAUAUUCAGACCAAUGAGCAAACGCUGUCCUCCCCACAAUAUGUAUGAAGGGAAUGAGAGGAGAAAAAAUUAAAACGUGAGUUAAAACCUGUGGCAGAGACUGCUGGUUCUUUGCCCCAGAAUACAUUAUUCUCCUCCUUUUUAAAAAUAGAAUACUGAUUUUUUGGCUAGAUACAGGUAGAAUAAAAGAGCACAUUUUCUCAGCCUCCCUUGCAGCUAGAGGUAGCCAAGUGACCGGGUUCUGGCCAAUGAAAUGUGAGAGGAAAAGCUCUGUGAGACUCUGGUAGUCUCCUUAAAGGGAAAAGGAAUGUAGCAAAAUAUAAACAAGCAAACAGAGCCAAAAGUCUGUAAGGAAGAGUUUUGGUAGAGACACCUAGAGCAAGAUAUGGGAAGAUGAAGAACAGACUCUGCCUCUGCUCAGCGCAAAAUGCCAGCUGUGAGCCUGUGGAAAACAGGGCUUCAAUUAGAAGACAAAAGGGUUGCUUUCAUGAGGAUUUUGUGAUACAUUGGAGCACGGAUGGCGUGUUUUUUUGUUUUGUUUUGUUUUUUGUUUUCUUUAAUGACCGAGUAACAAAGGGCAACAUACUGAGGAAGGUGCGUUUUCUCCUAAUUACUCCAUGAGGCAAUGUGGUUCUAGAGGAGUGAAAGCUAAAUGUGCUGCCAUUUUGGCACCUCACAGGUUUGCAACUUUGGAAUGUUCUAGAAAAAUAUCAACAACGGUCUCAUGAAGAUUGGCAGAGAACAAGGAGACACUCUUACAUGGUAGAACCCGUUAUGAGCUCAUAAAAGCCCCCACAAAAUAACAGAGAAGAAACUGAGUGAUACCAGAAGUAACUGAGAGAGACUUGGAACAGAGGGUCUGAAGACUUGUGUUAUGGAGGAAAAUAUAAAAUCAGCCACUGAAAUGUGACUUAUUGCUAUUAAUGUCAACUUGUUUUCUCACAGAUUAUUGGGGUACAGUGACCACCUGCUACAUAAGUGUCAGUAUUCCUUAGACGAGAGCCCCCACUAAAGCAACAAAGCAAAAACAGCCAGAAGGAUAAGCCAGGACCUGAGAUUGCCUUCCUGGGCAUGAGAGAGUGAUUGGUCAGUGAUGGUGACUCAUCAAAGUGAAAAUGACGAGUAGUGGUGACCCCAAAACAGAAGGCAGCUACGUUGUAAGGAAAGAGCCCUGGACGGCUUUGGAAAAUCCAGACCCCUGGGAAGAGGAUAGCUAAAUGUCAGGAGCCUCAGAGGGGUUUUUGGCACCUAAGAGAAGAUGAAAAUGUACCUUCACCUUGACCAGUAGUGGUCAUCUCUCCACACAAAUUGAUUUAACACGCUCCAUAUUCUCUAGAGCAGGAAUAACUUGAGAUUCCCAGAGCCAUACUCAAACUGCAUGCAAGUCUGAAACACAUUUUCCCCAUAACCCUCAGGGCAGUGAGGAUCAAUGGGCCCACCUGCUUUUUCUACUACUUUGUUAUCACAUCUGAUAAAACCUUGAGGGCUCCUGACUGCCCAGUCACCUCCAGGAGAGACUGCAACUUGAGCUCAGAGGACUGAGAGUCACUUCUUAUUUGCCAUUAAUUUGUAUUUGUUUAGUGUGCCAGUCAUGGUAAUCAUCUUAAGUUCAAGGUUUUUGCUUGUGGUUAGAAAGGAAAGCUAUCGUUAAGGAUGUGGUCAUUCUAAAUUAAAUCUUUAAUUCUUUUUUUGAAGUCUGGUGUUAUACAGUUACCUGUCACUCAAGGAAAG
rnacentral:lncRNA from 10 species